rnacentral:rRNA from 1 species
GAUGAACGCUGGCGGCGUGCUUAACACAUGCAAGUCGAACGGAAAGGCCCAAGCUUGCUUGGGUACUCGAGUGGCGAACGGGUGAGUAACACGUGGGUGAUCUGCCCUGCACUUCGGGAUAAGCCUGGGAAACUGGGUCUAAUACCGGAUAGGACCACAUUUUGGAUGGUGUGGUGGAAAGUUUUUCGGUGUGGGAUGAGCUCGCGGCCUAUCAGCUUGUUGGUGGGGUAAUGGCCUACCAAGGCGUCGACGGGUAGCCGGCCUGAGAGGGUGUACGGCCACAGUGGGACUGAGAUACGGCCCAGACUCCUACGGGAGGCAGCAGUGGGGAAUAUUGCACAAUGGGGGCAAGCCUGAUGCAGCGACGCCGCGUGGGGGAUGACGGCCUUCGGGUUGUAAACUCCUUUCGCUAGGGACGAGGCGUUAUGUGACGGUACCUGGAGAAGAAGCACCGGCUAACUACGUGC